GGCUGGUCCGAAGGUGGUGAGUUAUCUCCAUUGAUUGUUCACAGUCAGUUACAGAUCGAACUCCUUGUUCUAGUCUUUCCCCUCCUUCUCACUACUGCACUUGGCUAGUCUUUU
rnacentral:Y_RNA from 1 species